GCGCUGCCCCACGUGGGGGCGGGCUCCGUUUUGCCCCGCCAGGUGCAGAGCCGGAGGGCGACCGGAGUCCCCUGAUCCUAGGUCCCGAGUUUGGGGUCCGGGGCGGGCGGGAAGGCGGGAGCGCGAGCGGGACAGCGGCUACCUAGUGCCCGGUUUGCAGGGCAGGGUUAAUGAGUACUGAGGCCGUGCAGUUUGACAGAAGACCUUUUUUGAAUCUUGCAAUCUGAAUUGAUUCCAGUGGAUUAAAAGGCAUCCCAAGGGAGAGACCUUGGGGACCAAGGAAGAAGCCUAGAGGUUCAUUACCAAGAAUCCCCCCUGGCCCGACUCCCGGGUGACGUCUCGUGCGGAAUAUGUUACAGGUUCCUGGUGUCAAAGCGACUGGAGGGGUCCCUCAAACAAAAUCACUAUGAUCACCGGGCAACUGAAAAGGCCCCCCUUUCCCUGACGCAUUCUAGACUGCAAAAUGGGUGUCUGCACAUGGACCAAAACACUGAGCUGCGCCUUGCCAUGAAGGCCGUGCCAUUUUUCACCCAUGGCAAACACCAGAAGAGCUUUAUAAGGGGAAAUUAUCCAAUUUUGUAAUUUCAGUAGUCAGUAGGGGACACUGAUGAAAAAAUAGUAAAGAGAGAAAUCCAUCACAGUGUAAGCAACAUUCCAGCAUAUGUAGACUUUUACAGCUAACUUCUCUAGGAAGCCAUCCCCAGUGGGGCUUUGAUUCAAUCGAGUGCUAGUUUCGGCCCACCCUGAGCCUAAGUCUUGCAGCCAGAAGCGGCUAGACCAGGGAUGUGGAGGGGAUCACAUUAGACCAAUGAGGAGGAAACUUCACGUGAGAGUCUUUAAGAUCAGCAGCCAUCCUGGGGACUUAGGUGGCUGUCCUAACUCGCAAAAGACAACUCUAUCUAAGAAUAGGAAUAAAGAGGGGCACCUGGGUGGGUCAGUUGGUUAAGCGUCUGACCCUUGGUUUUGGCCAAGGUCAUGAUCUCACAGUUUGUGAGUUUGAACCCCGAUUUCUCUCUCCCUCUCUACCCCUCCUGUCUCUCUCUUGCUCUCUUUGUCUCUCACAAAAUAAACAUUAAAAAUUUAAAAAAAAAAAAAAAAAAAAAGAAUAGGAACAAAGAGAGGGCAUCGAGUUUCUGGGUCUUAUUACCAUUCCGGCCAGGGGACUAACUUCCAGCUUCCUCCUCCCUGUAGAGCAGCCAUUGGCUAGAGGAUUGCAGCCUGAGCAAUUGACACGAAAGUGUCCCAAUAAGAAGGAGUGACUGACUACAUACUUUUUAAUUACUGAGGGUUAUGGACAGUGCAGUCUCUAAGGAAUUUGGAAGCAAGGCUUUCAGGACCUUGAGGGGCUAGCUGGUGUUAAGAUAAGGUUACUUUUAGCCUGUAAUAAGACAUAAAUAUUAAGGCACUAAUGCAGCCAUGAAUUCCUCGAGGAAGGUCACCUUUGGCAUGUUUCAGGUGUCUGUCAGUGGGCAGCAAGCUGUAAGGAGAUUUUAAUUUAAGCCACAUUUCCCUUGCCUUUGUUUCCCUCAUCAGCAUAGGGUUAGUUUUUCUUGGUAGUUGUCUUAUUCCUUUAAAAUAUAAUUGUUUUUCAUUAUUUGAGUUUCAAUUCUGUUUUACAGGUUUGCAUCGGACCCUUGUUGAUUAGAUCCUUUGUUAGCCUUAAAAAAUUACACUGCCAGUUACUUUACCAGCAAAAAAAUGGUUUUGUUUGGGAAUAGCAGAGAAUUGCAAUCCAGGAUGCAAUUGCAGACAACAACGCAGAGGAAAGCCCGGAGGAGGUUCCUUCACAGAGCACAGAGGGAGCUCGGAUAGGCUGUUAACUUCGCUGGAAUAAGACAGAGCUUGAAGUGUAGUGGCUUCUCAUUGGCUGGCCUGUAACAGUCUCUCAUUGGCUGAGCUGUGAGAGGCUCUCAUUGUAUAGCUUGUGACUGUUUCUCAUUGGCUGGGCUGCUAGCCUAUGACUGUUUCUCAUUGGCUGGGCUGUGACUGUUUCUCACUGGCUGAGCUGUGAGAGUCUCUCAUCGGCUGGACUGUUGCUGGGUAGUAGGAAGCUUUCCUUCCUCCCACUGAGGCAGUGAAUUGUAGCAUCCUCCUGCAAGGCCGGCCUUCUCCUGCGGGGUGCUGCCCGGGUCAAGGAGAGUUCUAGGAUGUGACCACCAGGGCACUUGUCCACUGUCCGCCACACCUGGACCUGGAGUUCUGAAAGAUGCGUGAAGACUGCCUGCGUGCCUGGAGGGAAGUCCGAGAUCAAGGCGCCAGCGAGGGGGUUCUGAGGCCUCUCUCCCCGGACGGUGGACACUGCCGUGUCCCUGGGCCCCCACACCGCCCUCCUCUGUGCACACGCGGCGAGAGAGACCUCGGAUGUCUCCUCCUCCGAAGGACACCGGACCUGUGGGGUCAGGCUCUGCCCUUAUGACCUCAUAUGACCCUAACGACCCCCUGAAAGCCUUGUGUCCAAAUGCAGUCAAGUUCGAGUCAGGGCUUCAACUCAAGAAUUUGGGGGGCACACAGUUCAGGGCAGUUUCCAAGCAUAUUUGAGUUCCUGGGGACAGGGAGCUGUGUCCCCAGCGCCUGGCACAAAUGCCCCAGGCACACGUGAGGUGGAGGAGAGCCGCCGCCCGAAGAGAGCUGGCCCACACCGGGAGACGGGCUUGCGCUCUCCUGCUGCAUCACGUGACGUCGUGGUGUGUCGGCAUCCACAAGGACACGGACCGGGUGUGCGCUCAGACAAAACAGAAUCACUGUCAGGCCACGACAAGACCGGCUAAUCCUGGCGGCUGGUCUCACGCACCGCCCCUGCCUUGAUCCAGGCUGCUCACGACGGCGGCGAGGGGCGUUAAAACCCCCGGUCCCGGAGGUCCCUGCUCCUGGCCGCACUCAGGCGCAGCACAGCCCAGACCCGGUCCCGCCGACCAGCGCCCGCGGGAGGGUCCCUGGCUGUCACAGGCAAUCCCCCGACCUCACGGCUCGGGCAUGCGCCUGGCAGUCCGGCUGCAGGACCACGACCGGUGUUCUCGUUCUUCUGGUCGAGGGGCCACAAGAGGCAAGAAGCACGGUUUCUCAGGCUAGCGCUGGUCACCUGGAGGGAACUCCGGCAGGCCGGUCCCGACAGCCACACGCAGACGGCCGCCAGCACCUAGGGCGUGCAUGAAAACAACUCGUUCCCGCGCCCCGAGAAACGUCAGGCAUCUUUCCGCUGGGGGCGUGGGGACAGCUCCCCCGAAGGGCCAACUUCCGCUUUCUGCUUUGUUCUCUUCUGCACCGUGUGGGUUUCACUUCUGCAAGAAAAAAGCUGAGUGAGAGAUGUAGCGGCAUUCACGGCGGGGGAAGGCUGGGCCACCAGGCCAGCCUCAAGGGAGCCCACGCUUUCCCCAGAAGAGACGUCUUCCGGACAGUCAGGACGGUUCCGGUCUGCCGCACACUCCACACCCCACCUCCUCUCCAGCCCCCGCACUCCCUGCCGUCCAGCCCUCAGCCCUGCACCGAGGGGUUCGGAGACGAAUCAGGUGCAGGUCCUGCCGGCAGGGGUCGCCUCCAGGGCCUGCACGCCCGUGUUCACAGCAGCAUUAUUCACACGGCCCCGGGUGCCUGUCACACAUGAACGGACCCAUCAGGGGAGUGUCACUGGAGCUGGGACGUGCGCUGCGGCACGGCUGACCUAAAGGAUCCCGUGCUCGGUGAACUAAGCCGGUCACGAGGACAGAGUCCCCCUGGAUCCACUGGCACGAGGGGCCUGGCGUCACCGAGUGCCUGGAGAGAGUGGGCCCCAGGGUCUGGGGGUGGGGGGAGCGUCAGUCCGGGAAGAUGGAAAGUUCUGGAGAUGGACGGUGGGCCUGGCCUCAGUGUGGAUGUGCUUAAUGCCCCCGAGCUGUGCACUUACCAAUGGUUAGGACGGCAAAUCUUACGUAUAUUUCGCCACAAUUUUUUAAAAGCAAAUCAAGAAAAUUGUAAAAAGAAAGACGGAGGGAUCCUUGUGUUGACUGAACGUGCUGUAUCGGGACCAUGUCGGCCGUAAACCCCGAACAUAGUUUUGUAAGACGUUACCCACGGGGGACGUCAGGCAAAGGGCGCACGGAGUCUGUAUGAUUUCUUACAGUUCCUGUGAAUUACAUCAAAAUAAACAGAGAUGCGCCCUGA